GGAGUUUGGUCCGUGUCUCAGUACCAAUGUGGGGGACCUUCCUCUCAGAACCCCUACUGAUCGUCGCUUUGGUGGGCCGUUACCCCGCCAACUGGCUAAUCAGACGCGGGUCCAUCUCAUACCACCGGAGUUUUUCACACUGCAUCAUGCGAUGCUGUGCGCUUAUGCGGUAUUAUCAACCGUUUCCAGUUGUUAUCCCCCUGUAUGAGGCAGGUUACCCACGCGUUACUCACCCGUCCGCCACUCGAUUGGAUGGUGCAAGCACCUUCCUCUCUCGUUCGACUUGCAUGUGUUAGGCACGCCGCCAGCGUUCAUC
rnacentral:rRNA from 1 species